AGAGUUUGAUCCUGGCUCAGGAUGAACGCUAGCGGCAGGCUUAAUACAUGCAAGUCGUGGGGCAGCAGGGGUAGCAAUACCCGCUGGCGACCGGCAAACGGGUGCGGAACACGUACGCAACCUUCCUUUAACUGGAGAAUAGCCCCUCGAAAGAGGGAUUAAUACUCCGUAACAUAUACAUGUGGCAUCACAAGUAUAUUAUAGCUCCGGCGGUUAAAGAUGGGCGUGCGCCUGAUUAGAUAGUUGGCGGGGUAACGGCCCACCAAGUCUGCGAUCAGUAACUGGUGUGAGAGCACGACCAGUCACACGGGCACUGAGACACGGGCCCGACUCCUACGGGAGGCAGCAGUAAGGAAUAUUGGUCAAUGGACGCAAGUCUGAACCAGCCAUGCCGCGUGGAGGAUUAAGGCCCUCUGGGUUGUAAACUCCUUUUAUCUGGGAAGAAAUGCAUUUUUUCUAAAGUGCUUGACGGUACCAGAGGAAUAAGCACCGGCUAACUCCGUGCCAGCAGCCGCGGUAAUACGGAGGGUGCAAGCGUUAUCCGGAUUCACUGGGUUUAAAGGGUGCGUAGGCGGGCAGGUAAGUCCGUGGUGAAAUCUCUGAGCUUAACUCAGAAACUGCCAUGGAUACUAUUUGUCUUGAAUAUUGUGGAGGUAAGCGGAAUAUGUCAUGUAGCGGUGAAAUGCUUAGAUAUGACAUAGAACACCAAUUGCGAAGGCAGCUUACUACACAGUUAUUGACGCUGAGGCACGAAAGCGUGGGGAUCAAACAGGAUUAGAUACCCUGGUAGUCC
rnacentral:rRNA from 1 species